UGUUCAGUGGCUUAGUUGACUGGAGCGCCGGUCUUGCGAAUACGGAGUCGUGGGUUCGGAUCCUACCAAAACAA
rnacentral:tRNA from 1 species